rnacentral:rRNA from 1 species
UACGUAGGGUGCGAGCGUUAAUCGGAAUUACUGGGCGUAAAGCGUGCGUAGGCGGUUCGUUAAGUUCGUUGUGAAAGCCCCGGGCUCAACCUGGGAAUGGCAAUGGAAACUGGCGGGCUGGAGUAUGGCAGAGGGGGGUGGAAUUCCGCGUGUAGCAGUGAAAUGCGUAGAUAUCUGGAGGAACACCGGUGGCGAAGGCGGCAUCCUGGACCGGCAUUGACGCUGAGGCGCGAAAGCCAGGGGAGCAAACGGG